rnacentral:rRNA from 1 species
GAUGAACGCUAGCGGCAGGCUUAAUACAUGCAAGUCGUGGGGCAGCAGGUUUGUAGCAAUACAGAUGCUGGCGACCGGCAAACGGGUGCGGAACACGUACAGAACCUUCCUUUGAGCGGGGAAUAGCCCAGAGAAAUUUGGAUUAAUACCCCAUAGUAUAAUGAAGUGGCAUCACUUUAUUAUUAAAGAUUUAUCACUCGAAGAUGGCUGUGCGGCUGAUUAGGUAGUUGGCGGGGUAAAGGCCCACCAAGCCUGCGAUCAGUAACUGGUGUGAGAGCACGACCAGUCACACGGGCACUGAGACACGGGCCCGACUCCUACGGGAGGCAGCAGUAAGGAAUAUUGGUCAAUGGAGGCAACUCUGAACCAGCCAUGCCGCGUGGAGGAUGAAGGUCCUCUGGAUUGUAAACUUCUUUUAUAUGGGACGAAAAAAGGCUUUUCUAAGUCGUCUGACGGUACCAUAUGAAUAAGCACCGGCUAACUCCGU